CCUACGGGUGGCUGCAGUGGGGAAUAUUGGACAAUGGGCGAAAGCCUGAUCCAGCCAUGCCGCGUGUGUGAAGAAGGCCUUCGGGUUGUAAAGCACUUUCAGUGGGGAAGAAAGCCUUGGGGCUAAUACCCUCGAGGAAGGACAUCACCCACAGAAGAAGCACCGGCUAACUCCGUGCCAGCAGCCGCGGUAAUACGGAGGGUGCGAGCGUUAAUCGGAAUUACUGGGCGUAAAGCGCGCGUAGGCGGUCUGAUAAGCCGGUUGUGAAAGCCCCGGGCUCAACCUGGGAACGGCAUCCGGAACUGUCAGGCUAGAGUGCAGGAGAGGUAGGUAGAAUUCCCGGUGUAGCGGUGAAAUGCGUAGAGAUCGGGAGGAAUACCAGUGGCGAAGGCGGCCUUCUGGACUGACACUGACGCUGAGGUGCGAAAGCGUGGGUAGCAAACAGGAUUAGAUACCCUAGUAGUC
rnacentral:rRNA from 1 species